rnacentral:rRNA from 1 species
CCUACGAGUGGCAGCAGUAGGGAAUUUUGCGCCAUGGGCGAAAGCCUGACGCAGCAACGUCGCGUGAUCGAGACGCCCUUCGGGGUGUAAAGAUCUGUCAGUGGGUACGAAACUUGACGGUACCCACAGUGGAAGCACCGGCUCACUCCGUGUCAGCAGCCGCGGUAAUUCGGGGGGUGCAAGCGUUGUACGGAAUCAUUGGGCGGAAAGAGUUCGUAGGCGGCACGAAAAGUCUGGUGUUAAAGGCAGAGGCUCAACUUCUGUACGGCACUGGAUACUUGCGAGCUAGAAUGCGGUAGAGGUAAAGGGAAUGCCUGGUGUAGCGGUGAAAUGCUUAGAGAGCAGGAGGAACAUCGGUGGCGAAAGCGCUGUACUGGGCCGUAAUUGACGCUGAGGAACGAAAGCCAGGGUAGCAAAUGGGAUUAGAUACCCGAGUAGUC